GGAGAGGUGCCCGGAGUGGUUUAUCGGGGGCCGUGUGAAUGGUCGGGCUCUUUGGGUCCGCGCAGGUUCGAAUCCUGCCCUCUCCG
rnacentral:tRNA from 1 species